GAACCGGAAGAUGGUGUGAGCCACGGGCUGCCGGGGGCCUGGGGCUCGGCGUCGGUCCCCGGGGGAUGUGGAGAGCUGGCAGCAUGUCGGCCGAGCUGGGAGUCGGGUGCGCAUUGCGGGCGGUGAACGAGCGCGUGCAGCAGGCUGUGGCGCGGCGGCCGCGGGAUCUCCCAGCCAUCCAGCCCCGGCUAGUGGCGGUCAGCAAAACCAAACCUGCAGACAUGGUGAUCGAGGCCUAUGGAUAUGGGCAGCGCACUUUUGGCGAGAACUACGUAAGAGCCCUUUUCUGAAGCCCUUUGGAAGCAUCAUGAUUGCCAGGCUUCUGACUUGUUCUGUUUUGACCUUUUAGGUUCAGGAACUGCUAGAAAAAGCAUCAAAUCCCAAAAUUCUGUCUUUGUGUCCUGAGAUCAAAUGGCACUUCAUUGGCCACCUACAGAAACAAAAUGUCAACAAAUUGAUGGGUAAGAUAAAAUUAAAUAUGAAAACAAAAUUGUUCUGUCAUUGUAUUGCUUCUACUACCCUUUGUGGAAGAGAGAGCAACUUUUAGAAUAGCCCCAAUUCACCAUUUGUUUUUGGAAUUUCUUUAGGAAAGUCUGAGUUCUUAAUAAAAAGAGAAAACAUCAUGCCAAGAACAGAAUGAAUUCACCAUUUUCUGGGUUAUAUAUACUUGGAAACCUACCCAACCUCAUGUUUAUUAUUAUUUGGUGGUCUUUCAGAAAAAUUAUAAAGAAUUGUAGCCCAUAAAUUUUUUUAACUAGCAAAAGAGACAUUUCUGUUCUUUUUCCUUUAAAUAAAAGCUACAGUAAAUAAAAUACAAUACAGUAAAGUAAGUAUAGUAAAGUAAAA
rnacentral:sRNA from 1 species